CUUCAGUAUAAAUUUUUCACCUCUAAAUUGACUACAAGUUCAUUGUCCCUUGGAAGAUAAAGCAACAUCUUUAUAUGGGCUCACAGUAAUUUUCACAGUUGAGAUCUAAGUGCUUUUUGCCAAUUCAAGUGUAUCUUCUGUAAUCAAAACAUUUUGGUUUAGAGCUUAAAUUUAGUAAAAUAAAAAAACUUUGAGCAAAUACAGAAAUCUUAAGUGUUCACCCCAUAAAUUCAAUUUGAGUAGUCUUCCAUUAUUUUUAUUUAAAAUUAUUUGAAUAUUGGUUGCAUAUUGUUUAAAUCUCCAGGAGUUUGAUGCCCAAGUUAAACAGUGACCAGUAUGCUCAGCAGCAGAGGAAGGAAGGCGUCUACAGCAAAUUGGUUCUGUGGCUGUCAUGAGCAGAUUGUCCAGGCCCCAGACAUUGCCUUUUGUUCCACUCCAUUAUCUGAGAACAACUCUGACUUCAAAUCUGAAGGACUGGCCAGCACCAUGCGAACACCAGGAAGCUGUGCCGGGAUUUCACUGUGAUGGCAGGGAUCAGAGUUUGAAGUGCAGUCCUGUGCUCUUAGCUUUCCCAGCAGAAGGGAAAAGUACUGCCAACUCUAGCAAGCAUGUGGCACCAAGGAGAAUUGUGUACUGAGACCAGUGGAUUUCAUGUCUUGGCACCCAGUGUACCAGAGUAAGAGUUAGUUCAUACUUCUGUUACAGAGGAAUCUCAACUAUUAUUUAGUCCAAGUGAUCCUUGUUUGAUUGCACUGAACAUUCUAUAGAAGUUGUGAAUAAAACCAAAGUGGGAAACA
rnacentral:lncRNA from 1 species